rnacentral:rRNA from 1 species
UAGGGAAUCUUCGGCAAUGGACGAAAGUCUGACCGAGCAACGCCGCGUGAGUGAAGAAGGUUUUCGGAUCGUAAAACUCUGUUGUUAGAGAAGAACAAGGACGUUAGUAACUGAACGUCCCCUGACGGUAUCUAACCAGAAAGCCACGGCUAACUACGUGCCAGCAGCCGCGGUAAUACGUAGGUGGCAAGCGUUGUCCGGAUUUAUUGGGCGUAAAGCGAGCGCAGGCGGUUUCUUAAGUCUGAUGUGAAAGCCCCCGGCUCAACCGGGGAGGGUCAUAGGAAACUGGGGGACUUGAGUGCAGAAGAGGGGAGUGGAAUUCCAUGUGUAGCGGUGAAAUGCGUAGAUAUAUGGGGGAACACCAGUGGCGAAGGCGGCUCUCUGGUCUGUAACUGACGCUGAGGCUCGAAAGCGUGGGGAGCAAACAGG